rnacentral:rRNA from 1 species
UACGGAGGAUGCGAGCGUUAUCCGGAUUUAUUGGGUUUAAAGGGUGCGUAGGCGGAUCGUUAAGUCAGUGGUCAAAUUGAGGGGCUCAACCGCUUCCCGCCAUUGAAACUGGCGAUCUUGAGUGGAAGAGAAGUAUGCGGAAUGCGUGGUGUAGCGGUGAAAUGCAUAGAUAUCACGCAGAACCCCGAUUGCGAAGGCAGCAUGCCGGCUUCCGACUGACGCUGAAGCACGAAAGCGUGGGGAUCGAACAGG